rnacentral:rRNA from 1 species
AGCGUAUAUUAAAGUUGUUGCAGUUAAAAAGCUCGUAGUUGAAUUUCGGGAUCGAAUUGUUGGUCGUGCUUCGGUACGCACUGGCAUUAUCGGUUUCUACCUUCUGAAGAACCGCGAUGUCAUUAAUUUGGUGUCGUGGGGAAUCAGGACUGUUACUUUGAAAAAAUUAGAGUGUUUAAAGCAGGCUUACGCUUGAAUACAUUAGCAUGGAAUAAUGAAAUAGGACGUUUGAUUCUAUUUUGUUGGUUUCUAGGAUCGACGUAAUGAUUAAUAGGGAUAGUUGGGGGCAUUAGUAUUCAAUUGUCAGAGGUGAAAUUCUUGGAUUUAUUGAAGACUAACUACUGCGAAAGCAUUUGCCAAGGAUGUUUUCAUUAAUCAAGAACGAAAGUUAGGGGAUCGAAGACGAUCAGAUACCGUCGUAGUCUUAACCAUAAACUAUGCCGACUAGGGAUCGGAUGAUGUUAAUUUUUUAAUGACUC